rnacentral:rRNA from 1 species
AUUGAACGCUGGCGGCAGGCCUAACACAUGCAAGUCGAGCGGUUGAAGGGAGCUUGCUCCUGGAUUCAGCGGCGGACGGGGGAGUAAUGCCUAGGAAUCGGCAUCGGAGUGGGGGAUAACGUCCGGAAACGGGCGCUAAUACCGCAUACGCCCUGUGUGAGAAAGUGGGGGAUGGUCGGAUCUCACGCUAUCGGAUGAGGCUAGGUCGGAUUAGGUUGUUGGUGGGGUAAAGGUCUACCAAGGCGACGAUCCGUAACUGGUCUGAGAGGAUGAGCAGUCACACUGGAACUGAGACACGGUCCAGACUCCUACGGGAGGCAGCAGUGGGGAAUAUUGGACAAUGGGCGAAAGCCUGAUCCAGCCAUGCCGCGUGUAUGAAGAAGGUCUUCGGAUUGUAAAGCACUUUAAGUGGGGAGGAAGGGCAGUAAGUUAAUACCUUGCUGUUUUGACGUUACCAACAGAAUAAGCACCGGCUAACUUCGUG